rnacentral:rRNA from 1 species
AUACGUAGGGGGCAAGCGUUAUCCGGAUUUACUGGGUGUAAAGGGAGCGUAGACGGCAAAGUAAGUCUGAAGUGAAAGCCCCGGGCUCAACCCGGGAACUGCUUUGGAAACUAUUUAGCUAGAGUGCAGGAGAGGUAAGUGGAAUUCCUAGUGUAGCGGUGAAAUGCGUAGAUAUUAGGAGGAACACCGGCGGCGAAGGCGGCUUACUGGACUGUAACUGACGUUGAGGCUCGAAAGCGUGGGGAGCAAACAGGAUUAGAUACCCUGGUAGUCCACGCCGUAAACGAUGAUCACUAGGUGUUGGGAGGCAAAGCCUUUCGGUGCCGCAGCUAACGCAAUAAGUGAUCCACCUGGGGAGUACGUUCGCAAGAAUAAAACUCAAAUGAAUUGACGGGG